CGAUGGAUAACCGGUUGAUAUUCCGGUACCCGCUGUGAAGCGUCAAACAUUGAAUCAGGCGAUGCUAAGUCCGUGAAGCCGUCCUGGAGCCUUCGGGCAAAGGGAAGUGGUGGAGCCGACGGACCAGACUUGUAGUAGGUGAGUGAUGGGGUGACGCAGGAAGGUAGUCCAGCCCGGGCGGUGGUUGUCCCGGGGUAAGGGUGUAGGGCGCUGUCUAGGUAAAUCCGGACAGCUUGUGCCUGAGACCUGAUGCCGAGCCGAUUGUGGUGAAGUGGAUGAUCCUAUGCUGUCGAGAAAAGCCUCUAGCGAGUUUCAUGGCGGCCCGUACCCUAAACCGACUCAGGUGGUCAGGUAGAGAAUACCGAGGCGUUCGGGUGAACUAUGGUUAAGGAACUCGGCAAAAUGCCCCCGUAACUUCGGGAGAAGGGGGGCCAUCACUGGUGAUCGGAUUUACUCCGUGAGCUGGGGGUGGCCGCAGAGACCAGCGAGAAGCGACUGUUUACUAAAAACACAGGUCCGUGCGAAGCCGUAAGGCGAUGUAUACGGACUGACGCCUGCCCGGUGCUGGAACGUUAAGGGGACCGGUUAGUGCGCUUUCGGGCGUGCGAAGCUGAGAACUUAAGCGCCAGUAAACGGCGGUGGUAACUAUAACCAUCCUAAGGUAGCGAAAUUCCUUGUCGGGUAAGUUCCGACCUGCACGAAUGGCGUAACGACUUCUCGACUGUCUCAACCAUAGGCCCGGUGAAAUUGCACUACGAGUAAAGAUGCUCGUUUCGCGCAGAAGGACGGAAAGACCCCGGGACCUUUACUACAGUUUGAUAUUGGUGUUCGGUUCGGCUUGUGUAGGAUAGGUGGGAGACUGUGAAGCGGGCACGCCAGUGUUCGUGGAGUCAACGUUGAAAUACCACUCUGGUCGUGCUGGAUGUCUAACCUCGGUCCGUGAUCCGGAUCAGGGACAGUGUCUGAUGGGUAGUUUAACUGGGGCGGUUGCCUCCCAAAGAGUAACGGAGGCGCCCAAAGGUUCCCUCAGCCUGGUUGGUAAUCAGGUGUUGAGUGUAAGUGCACAAGGGAGCUUGACUGUGAGACCGACGGGUCGAGCAGGGACGAAAGUCGGGACUAGUGAUCCGGCGGUGGCUUGUGGAAGCGCCGUCGCUCAACGGAUAAAAGGUACCCCGGGGAUAACAGGCUGAUCUUCCCCAAGAGUCCAUAUCGACGGGAUGGUUUGGCACCUCGAUGUCGGCUCGUCGCAUCCUGGGGCUGGAGUCGGUCCCAAGGGUUGGGCUGUUCGCCCAUUAAAGCGGUACGCGAGCUGGGUUUAGAACGUCGUGAGACAGUUCGGUCCCUAUCCUCUGUGCGCGUAGGAAUAUUGAGAAGGGCUGUCCCUAGUACGAGAGGACCGGGACGGACGAACCUCUGGUGUGCCAGUUGUCCUGCCAAGGGCAUGGCUGGUUGGCUACGUUCGGAAAGGAUAACCGCUGAAAGCAUCUAAGCGGGAAGCCUGCUUCGAGAUGAGUAUUCCCACCCCCUUUGAGGGGUUAAGGCUCCCAGUAGACGACUGGGUUGAUAGGCCAGAUCUGGAAGCCCGGUAACGGGUGGAGGUGACUGGUACUAAUAGGCCGAGGGCUUGUCCU
rnacentral:rRNA from 1 species